rnacentral:rRNA from 1 species
AUUGAACGCUGGCGGCAGGCCUAACACAUGCAAGUCGAGCGAGCGGCGGACGGGUGAGUAAGGUCUGGGAAACUUCCUGAUGGAGGGGGAUAACUACUGGAAACGGUAGCUAAUACCGCAUACCAUCGGAUGUGCCCAGAUGGGAUUAGCUUGUAGGUGAGGUAACGGCUCACCUAGGCGACGAUCCCUAGCUGGUCUGGGAGGAUGACCAGCCACACUGGAACUGAGACACGGUCCAGACUCCUACGGGAGGCAGCAGUGGGGAACAUUGCACAAUGGGCGCAAGCCUGAUACAGCCAUGCCGCGUGUGUGAAGAAGGUCUUCGGAUUGUAAAGCACUUUAAGUUGGGAGGCGUUACCAACAGAAUAAGCACCGGCUAACUUCGUGCCAGCCGCCGCGGUAAUUC